UUUUAUGAGAGUUUGAUCCUGGCUCAGGACGAACGCUGGCGGCGUGCCUAAUACAUGCAAGUCGAACGCUUCUUUUUCCACCGGAGCUUGCUCCACCGGAAAAAGAAGAGUGGCGAACGGGUGAGUAACACGUGGGUAACCUGCCCAUCAGAAGGGGAUAACACUUGGAAACAGGUGCUAAUAC
rnacentral:rRNA from 1 species